GCUGGCCCCGCCCCCUGCAUUCCUGCCCAUUCUUAUGUCACUUUAAAGUUGCUUCUGAGUCCUUGAAGUACUGUUUAUUCCACCUAGAGACUCACCUAACCCAUCCCUGUCACUGAGUUCAAACUUCUCACCAUUCCUGCCUUCAUUGGAACAGAACAGCCUCAGGGCCUCUGCUGUCCUAUCCUAGAGCAGCUGUCCCACCCCAGAUCGUCUUAUACUCCUAAAUGGAAUCUUUCUCUUACUGAUUGCUGUCCACCAUCCUUCAAAUUCUGGAGCUCUGUGAAGGGAUCAUCAUCGUCGUCGUCGUCGUCGUCGUCAUCAUCAUCAUCAUCAUCAUCAUCAUCAUCAUCAUCAUCUUGCCAAAGAAUUGCAUAACACAGAUUUCUUAACUGUGCUCUCGGGUUACCUUUUCAUCUCUAUGGCAAAUUCUAAGACCUCCAAAGACAUGUCAGGUGGGAGCCUGAGUCUUCCUUCCCCAGCCUGCCUAUAGGUCUCUAUCCGUACAUUGCUGUGACUGUACACUGGAGUUUCUAGGCUCAUGUGUUCCUGUGUGUGGACUGUGUGCAUCAUCAUGUGCCUGGGUCCCUGCUGUAGGCUGCCAGCCUGGUAGUCUUCACCCACACUGAAUAAAUAUGUUUUAUUUGUC